GAGCCCUUUGCAGAAGGCAGAAGGCGAGCUUCUACAAUGGGCUCCUGUGCGGCUUGCCAGCAACAAGCACCGGCUAUUUUGCACAGCUCUUCUCCGACCCAUUAAAGGCGGGAUAACCCAAGUCGAGCCCUCCCUGGCGCACACUGAGAUGGGGAUGGCCUCUCGGAGCUCUGCCGGUUCAAAGAUGCACAUGGCUUUCAUUUGAAGGACACUUUUCCACUGCUGCUUGCCGUCUACUUUCAUCAUCCUGCAUCAAGCGACCUAAAAGCACUUUCCUGUCGAUGUACUUGGCAAUAUCUGACCUGUCUGCCAUAUGUAAUAUCAAAGCCUCUGUCAGCGUGGAGCUGAAUGGGAACAAAAGAGAGACCUCCAUUAAUGAUUAACUGUUCUAAAAGCCCCGGCUUUUGUAUUCCCAUGGUGCCCAGGCUAUCUGGCCACCAUGUGACAUGCUCACAGCAUUUUUCGAGCAGAUUGGGGGAAAGCUAGUGAGCAAACACAGGUGCUUUGGAGCAGCGUUGCCGACGCUGUCAGGGACAACCACAAACAAGAGCAGCUAUGCCUGGCUAAAUGAAUCCCCACCCCUCCCAACACCAUCACCACCUCCACCCCUUCCCCCCCUUCUCUGUCGCUGGCUAACUUGUUUGCUAGCUCCCUAUAGCUUUCUCCCCGCAAAGCCUUCCUUCUGGAGAGUCCCCACGUCCCCCCCACAAGUCCAAUGUCCGCUCCAGCCGCUCUCCACAACUUCUCACACCCUCCAAAGAAACAAACAAAUAAAAGUGAGGACGGCCGACCACUUCUUUGAGGUGAUGGCAUUUGCUGUGGUCAUGACUAGUGGGAGAGCAAACAAAUUAAUGGUGUUCGAGUUUUCACUUUCCAAACCAAACUAAAUGUCUUUUAGUUCAAGUGGGGCAAUUCCACUGACCCUGGUGUCAAAUGCUGUAUAAGGGUUGCACACUCUUGCACUUGAAAUGCCGAGAGGAGGCCAUAAGAAAUUAAACAGGACUUGAGUACUGUCGUACAUGAGCCUGGUGUGGUGCGACGCCUCAAAUUGGCAUCUGACAAAUAAAUCUUUAAUAAAUUGUGUGUGUUGUAAACGUUGUGCAUAUGUCUAUGUAUUUUGACCGCAAACUUUAACAAGAGGUGUGUGGAGCACUUAACCUUUUCAUCCAGGCUGACAGAUAGUUCAGAGUGACUGGGGGUGCUGUGUCGCUCAACUUUGAUAAGACAAUCAGAUGAUAGGAUGGCGUUAUCUCAACAUGGCUUUCCGGCUGGAAGACGAAUGAACAGUGCGCGAUAACAAGAACAAAAGCUUGGCUCCUAUUGGCUGGCUACUCCAAAGAAAGGAAAAUUAUCUGGGUGGAAAAUUCACAAUGGGUGAAGUUUAUUUCAUUUUCAAUUUGCUACUUAGCCCAGGUCACCGGAACAGCUUUUUUUUUUUUUUU